UACGUAGGUGGCAAGCGUUGUCCGGAUUUACUGGGCGUAAAGGGCGUGCAGGCGGUUUUGUUAGUCUAGGGUGAAAGCUCCCGGCUUAACUGGGAGAGGUCCUUGGAUACUGGCAAACUUGAGGGAGGCAGAGGAAAGUGGAAUUCCCGGUGUAGUGGUGAUAUGCGUAGAUAUCGGGAGGAACACCAGUGGCGAAGGCGGCUUUCUGGGCCUUGCCUGACGCUGAGACGCGAAAGCGUGGGGAGCGAACCGG
rnacentral:rRNA from 1 species